GAUGAACGCUCGCGGGAGGCCUAACACAUGCAAGCCGAGCGGUAUUUGUCCUUCGGGACAGAGAGAGCGGCGUACGGGUGCGGAACACGUGUGCAACCUGCCUUUAUCUGGGGGAUAGCCUUUCGAAAGGAAGAUUAAUACCCCAUAAUAUAUCGAAUGGCAUCAUUCGAUAUUGAAAACUCCGGUGGAUAGAGAUGGGCACGCGCAAGAUUAGAUAGUUGGUGAGGUAACGGCUCACCAAGUAAGUGAUCUUUAGGGGGCCUGAGAGGGUGAUCCCCCACACUGGUACUGAGACACGGACCAGACUCCUACGGGAGGCAGCAGUGAGGAAUAUUGGACAAUGGGGGGGAGCCUGAUCCAGCCAUCCCGCGUGAAGGACUAAGGCCCUAUGGGUUGUAAACUUCUUUUAUACUGAGAUAAACCUACUUACGUGUAAGUAGCUGAAGGUACAGUAUGAAUAAGCACCGGCUAACUCCGUG
rnacentral:rRNA from 1 species